CGAGGCGGGGCGGGCCAGCCCCCGGGGGCUGCGGGCGGCUGGCCCCGGCCCGGCGGCCGGCCGAGCCCCGCAAGGGGCUCCCCGGGCCGUCGGAAACCGUCGUGGGACCGGCGGCUGCCGGAGCGCCGGGAGCGGGGGGCCCGGCCCGGCAGUGCGGGCGCCGGCGGACGGGCCCGGCAAAAGGGCGUUCGUGGAGGGGCUGGGUGGGGGCGGGACCCCCGGGGCAGGGCGCGGGGGGUGCCCGGCUCGCUCCCCUGCCCUGUGGGCUCUCGAAGCCUCUCCGAAUUGCUCUCGCUCGACAGCUCCAGCCUCCGUCUGUCCCAGGCAUUUUUUAAGUGCAUCGGUCUCAUAGGUAGCCUCUCGAAAGAUGACGUGCAGGAGGAUGCCGUGGCGCGGUUCUGUCGAAUGCACAGGGCACAGACCGUGGUGCCCUGACACGCGCAUGAGGCAUCAUGCUGCUCUGGGGAGGGUGGGAGGUGUAACAGUUCCGCUGCUCAUCAGAGACCAACACAGGGAGUUUCGGAUGGCAAAGAAAGAAGCUCCUAAGUGUGCAGUUUAAGCUGCUGCCUCCUCCUCUCACUUCGUCAGACGUACCUUGACAGUCCCCUGCUUUUUUGCUGAUAACUAUAUUCUCUGGUGACAUGUGAGGGAAGGAUCCCAAGAGACAGAAAUCGGAUCAGAAGUCUUGGUGGUUUUAGGCUGAGUGUUUCAAGCUAAGUUAGAAUUUGCUAGCUCUGAUGCUCAAUGAAUAUGCUGGAGGUAGAUCUUCUUCACCAGAGACACAUACAAGAGCCACUGACAUCCCUCUGAAUGGACCAGGGCAUCCUCUGGAAAAAAACAAGAAAGAGCUAAGCGCAUUCCUCUGCCUGCCCUGACUCUGCAGCCCCUGUGAGGCAAGGCUGAAUUCACAAUCCUUGGAUAGUGGUGUCUCUUCUACAUCACAGAACAUUUC